rnacentral:rRNA from 1 species
UACGUAGGGGGCAAGCGUUGUCCGGAUUUAUUGGGCGUAAAGAGCGUGUAGGCGGCCAUGUAGGUCCGGUGUGAAAGCUCGAGGCUUAACCUCGAGAUGUCAUCGGAAACCAUCUGGCUAGAGUCCGGAAGAGGAGAGUGGAAUUCCUGGUGUAGCGGUGAAAUGCGCAGAUAUCAGGAAGAACACCAAUGGCGAAAGCAGCUCUCUGGGACGGUACUGACGCUGAGACACGAAAGCGUGGGGAGCGAACAGG